UUCCUCAUGGUCUAGUGGUUAGGAUUCAGCAUUUGCACUGCUGCAGCCUGGGUUUGAUUUCUGGUUUGGGAA
rnacentral:tRNA from 1 species